rnacentral:lncRNA from 1 species
ACUAAAAUUCCUCCAGGGGAUAAACUUACGCCUCUCUGUUUUGUGUCUGCUUAUUGUGGGAUGAACGAUUUCAUUAAGCAACCCAAGUAGCACUUGGAGUAAAAAUAUAGAGAAUUAACUAAAAAGAGGUGAACUGGUGAAAUUUGGCCACAGGACGUUUCCAGAUAAUUAAGGGCCGGCGCCCGGCUGCAUUUCCACACGGCUCUCGUCUCCAGCCUGUCGCUUUUCCCCGAGUGGCACAGACAUGACUUUGUUUUCCAGCGCGAAGAGUCUCUUAAUUAAAUCUUAUUUGUCAAGAAGGACGGUCUCAAGUUCAAGGUCCCUGGCAGGUAACCAACACAAUUUCAAGUUCCGGGACAUCGUCUGCAAUCAACAUCAACUACCCCAUCAAGAAAGCAGACCCUGGUGUUGGUGUUUCCCCAUCUAUAGAUUCCACACUCCCUUUGACGUUCGUUGGUGUUGCCCAGUGAAGAUAAAGGAGGCGGAGGGGUGGAAGAGAACCUGCUUCUGCUGGUGUCCAAGAGAAAGCUUGAUGUCAGGACAUCCUGAGACGUGUCCUGGGGAGAAGGAAGCCUUCAAGGGACAAAGGAGCUGUGUAGGAGUCACAGCUCUAACGGAACAGCCAACUUUCAACCAACCAAAAAUACUGCAUCCCUCCCUCCCCAGCGGAGUGACCAGGAGGUGAUCGGAACACAGUGGAUCCCGUGGACCCACAGGGAGUCAGUUUCUGCAGGGGGAGAUAGAUGAGGCUGAAAAAAAAAUCUGCUGUGGAUUUUGAAGAAGGCAACGUGGAGGCAGCACCUUCGGGCCCUCACUGAGCCGCAGCCUCC